UACAGAGGGUGCGAGCGUUGUUCGGAAUUAUUGGGCGUAAAGGGCGCGUAGGCGGCGCCACAAGUCACUUGUGAAAACUCUGGGCUCAACUCAGAGCCUGCAAGCGAAACUGUGGUGCUGGAGUAUGGGAGAGGUGCGUGGAAUUCCCGGUGUAGCGGUGAAAUGCGUAGAUAUUGGGUGGAACACCGGUGGCGAAAGCGGCUCACUGGCUCGGUUCUGACGCUGAGGCGCGAAAGCGUGGGGAGCAAACAGG
rnacentral:rRNA from 1 species